GGACCGAACAGUUUGUUUUGCUUGAUGAAGAGCAGGAAGGGCAGCCUGGAGAGAAAGAGAAGCCGGGUUGAGCCCACUACCAUCAUCCACGUACCACGAGGAAGAUGAGGGAGAGAAAUGAUCCUACCAUUAAAGAGACUGUGAAAAGAACGUUGAAAACAUCACCACUCUACAGGAAGACACAGUCCAGUAAUGGGUGUCAGAAGUUCAGUAGUGAACGACAGAAACAAACAAUCCAAAUUACCUGCAGAAAGCCCUUGAUGGACGCUUCAGCUGCAUCGUCAGACUGGCAGUACUGAUGCAUUUACUGAGACGGGACGUGAGGGCCUACUCUGCGUGCUCAGAGUUCAAGCCCAGCAGGCUGCAGCGGUCCUGACAUAUUCCGGAACAGCAGCACAGUCUUUGGAUGACUCCUCUGAAGAUGAAAACAUGGCGAGUUCUUCUCAAGAGAAGCAGUACAGGUGUGCCUCAGCUCCACGGUCCCUCCUGCAACCUCCGCUCCUGAUGCUAACCUCAUGUCUCCAUCGCACCAAGCAGCAGACCUGGAUUGACAGACCUUUCUCCAGAGCUGCCCCCUCCCUCUGAAACCCCCCUCUCCAAAACACUAUUUGUGUAGUUUUUAAAGUAUUUUUUGCAUGAGAAUUGUUGAUCAUAUCAUUUCCAGCAGAUGCCUUAAUGUA